AUCCAACCUUCCGUACACUCAGGGAUAGCCUUUCGAAAGAAAGAUUAAUACCUGAUGGUAUGAUGAGAUUGCAUGGUAUCAUCAUUAAAGAUUUAUCGGUGUACGAUGGGGAUGCGUUCCAUUAGGUAGUAGGCGGGGUAACGGCCCACCUAGCCAACGAUGGAUAGGGGUUCUGAGAGGAAGGUCCCCCACAUUGGAACUGAGACACGGUCCAAACUCCUACGGGAGGCAGCAGUGAGGAAUAUUGGUCAAUGGACGAGAGUCUGAACCAGCCAAGUAGCGUGAAGGAUGAAGGUCCUACGGAUUGUAAACUUCUUUUAUAAGGGAAUAAACCCUCCCACGUGUGGGAGCUUGUAUGUACCUUAUGAAUAAGCAUCGGCUAACUCCGUGCCAGCAGCCGCGGUAAUACGGAGGAUGCGAGCGUUAUCCGGAUUUAUUGGGUUUAAAGGGAGCGCAGACGGGUCGUUAAGUCAGCUGUGAAAGUUUGGGGCUCAACCUUAAAAUUGCAGUUGAUACUGGCGUCCUUGAGUGCGGUUGAGGUGUGCGGAAUUCGUGGUGUAGCGGUGAAAUGCUUAGAUAUCACGAAGAACUCCGAUUGCGAAGGCAGCACACUAAUCCGUAACUGACGUUCAUGCUCGAAAGUGUGGGUAUCAAACAGGAUUAGAUACCCUG
rnacentral:rRNA from 1 species